UAGAAUGGGACAAACUGUGUCACAU
rnacentral:piRNA from 1 species